rfam:Parachlamydia acanthamoebae TV-7, complete genome
CGGAGUAUAGCGCAGUUUGGCUAGCGCGGCUGCUUUGGGAGCAGUAGGUCGGGGGUUCAAAUCCCUCUACUCCGA